GGUUACUGCUAUCGGUGUUCGCCUAAGCCAUGCGAGUCAUAUGUUCGUAAGAACAUGGCGUACUGCUCAGUAACACGUGGAUAACCUGCCCUUGGGUCCGGCAUAACCCCGGGAAACUGGGGAUAAUUCCGGAUAACGCACAUAUGCUGGAAUGCUUUAUGCGUCAAAUGGAUUCGUCCGCCCAAGGAUGGGUCUGCGGCCUAUCAGGUAGUAGUGGGUGUAAUGUACCUACCAGCCUACGACGGGUACGGGUUGUGAGAGCAAGAGCCCGGAGAUGGAUUCUGAGACAUGAAUCCAGGCCCUACGGGGCGCAGCAGGCGCGAAAACUUUACAAUGCGGGAAACCGUGAUAAGGGGACACCGAGUGCCAGCAUCAUAUGCUGGCUGUCCGGGUGUGUAAAAUACACCUGUUAGCAAGGGCCGGGCAAGACCGGUGCCAGCCGCCGCGGUAACACCGGCGGCCCGAGUGGUGAUCGUGAUUAUUGGGUCUAAAGGGUCCGUAGCCGGUUUGGUCAGUCCUCCGGGAAAUCUGACGGCUUAACCGUUAGGCUUUCGGGGGAUACUGCCAGACUUGGAACCGGGAGAGGUAAGAGGUACUACAGGGGUAGGAGUGAAAUCUUGUAAUCCCUGUGGGACCACCUGUGGCGAAGGCGUCUUACCAGAACGGGUUCGACGGUGAGGGACGAAAGCUGGGGGCACGAACCGGAUUAGAUACCCGGGUAGUCCCAGCCGUAAACGAUGCUCGCUAGGUGUCAGGCAUGGCG
rnacentral:rRNA from 1 species